AUUUUGGAGUCCUUCCUUAAUCCCAGGUUCUUUGUUAGAAACAUUGGUGCUAUUUAAUUGACUGUUAAAUCCUAAUCACAUGAGAACCCUCCCCGAGCAUAAUCUCCUGUGAUAAAUUGCCCAGUACUCCUGGCAGAGGCACAUUUUGAUCUCCAGCCUUUAUGAGCCUGAGUGCUCUGUGAUUACAGCUGAUUUUUGAGAGGGAACAAGGGAGGAAUGGAUCUUAUUUCAUUUUAAACUGAUGUAAAGACAACUGACUCCAGAUUUGGAUGAAGAUACCAUUCUCUCUUCUGCUUGAGGCCUUUGCAGAUGUAGCUAUUUUUGUCAAGCUUUUCAGCAGAUGCUUACAGGGUCCAGGUCUUAUCAGCCAGCCCUUGUGGGGGGUGGGGGGGAGCAACCAGAAAUUGCACAAGGUCUCAUCCCGCAGGCAGGAGUGAAGGAAAUGGGUUAGGUAGGAGCUGGUUAUCUGUUGGAAGCAGCCUGUACACAGUCAGAUCUCCAGGAUCAGGAAAGAGAACUUGAAGGUGGAAAUGGACAGCAGCAAAACCAGCAAAGUACUCCAUGCCUGCCCUUGGGAAGGUGGUGAUGAGCAGCAGCAGCCUAGAGGUUUGCUGGGACAAAGCGAAGGAACCAACAUCCUGUAGCAGGAGAGAAGCAGCCCUGUGGGAUGCAGCUUGCAGCAUGGACAUGUCUAGCUCUUCUACUCCUGAAGCUUGUAGGGCAAAACUCAAAGUACACCCCAAAGAUGGUCCAGAAACCAAAAGGCAGAUGAAAACCACCAGAUUUCAUUAACUUCAGGGAAAUUAAAUUGACAUUCUUAAACAAGACCCAGGGAGAGGAGGGUUUCUUAAACGUUUGGGCUGGGCUGUGUGAAAUGCUUGCUUGGCCCAGGAGCAGCUGUUUACAUUUGAAAAGAACUGCUGUGUCAGCAGUGCUGGUGGGCUCAUCACUCAGUGACUGCAUUAUCUCCCUGGAGAGCUUCCAGCGCUGUGGAGUGUGAGAUCCCCCAGAAACUGUCCUCUUCCAGACCACCAAAACCUCUCCUCUGUGGAUCAAGGGGGUCAGAGAGAUGACAUAAAGCCAGCUAUGGGAACAGGGUAAUACAAACCUACCAAGGGAAUUCUCUCCAUAAUGGGAAUCUUGCCCAAUUCUUAAAAGUCCACUUUUUUUCCUUGGGAGCCUACCAAAGAGCAUGUAUCAGACCGGUGGCAUUUCCAUCACAGCCCACAGUAUGGGUGGUACCAAUGGGAAUGAACUGC